GAUCCUGGCUCAGGACGAACGCUGGCGGCGUGCUUAACACAUGCAAGUCGAACGAAAAGACGGAAAGAGCUUGCUCUUUUCAGAAUUGAGUGGCAAACGGGUGAGUAACACGUAAACAACCUGCCUUCAGGAUGGGGACAACAGACGGAAACGACUGCUAAUACCGAAUAAGUUCCAAGGGCCGCAUGGCCCAUGGAAGAAAAGGUGGCCUCUACCUGUAAGCUAUCGCCUGAAGAGGGGGUUUGCGUCUGAUUAG
rnacentral:rRNA from 1 species